rnacentral:pre_miRNA from 1 species
AACAAGUUUAUUUUUCAGUUCUGAGAUACAAUGUUUGACUAAUCGUCUUAUUUUAAUUUUUCAUGAUUAAUAUUUUUACUAUUAUUAGGUGAUAAAACAUAAAUAGUACUUUAUGUGUGACUAAUUUUUAAAUUUUUUUUAAAUAAGACGGAUGGUCAAACGCUAAACAUAGAAAU